AACCUAGCACACCUGCGGUGUGUACCUGCGGAAGGAUCAUUACCGAGUUUACAACUCCCAAACCCCUGUGAACAUACCACUUGUUGCCUCGGCGGAUCAGCCCGCUCCCGGUAAAACGGGACGGCCCGCCAGAGGACCCCUAAACUCUGUUUCUAUAUGUAACUUCUGAGUAAAACCAUAAAUAAAUCAAAACUUUCAACAACGGAUCU
rnacentral:misc_RNA from 1 species